AUCAAUAGAAGCAGAGAACCCAAAUGGGCUUUAUUUUCAUUUACUUUUUUUUUUUAACGAAUAUUUUUAAAGCACAUACUAAGUGCAAGGCAACUGUUUGUUUUUGGACUCAUUUUAUUUUAUCACACUGAUCUCUUCCUGUGUUUCUAAUUUAUGAUUCAAAUUUUAUUUCGCCUCAGGCUAAAAGAACCACACACUAUGUCCAGAAGUCAAAAGUUUCUCAUCUGGCUUUCUGAUAUCUUACUAAUGAGAAAAGCCUUGUUUGACCACCUCACUGCCAGAGGCAUUCAGGUGUAUAUUUGGGUAUUGAAUGAAGAACAAGAAUACAAACGAGCUUUUGAUUUGGGAGCAACGGGGGUGAUGACAGACUAUCCAACAAAGCUUAAGGAUUUUUUACAUAAUUUUUCAGCAUAGAAAAGGAGGUACUCAGAAGCAAAGAAAAGAUGAAAAGACCUAAAGAAAAAAACAACAAGUUUGCCAUCAUUCCCUAAGCCAUUUCCAGAAUGAUUGCAUCUCUCACUUGGAGCCCUCCAGCUAGCCGCAGUGAAGGAUGACCAUACUUCCACCUGUCCCUUGAUGACAUGAAUAACAUUUGCGC